ACACAGUCCCCAUAUGGGGUUUCUGACCUGUAGUAAGUAAAGAAUAUCACUUCCUAUCAGGUCCAGGAGCCCAGAGUUAUCUUGGGACCUCAAACGGAGAGAAAUUUACCCAACUCAUAGGUAUUUGAAGAUGUGUGACAUGGAUAAAAAGCUCCCCAUAGUGGAAAGAGGUGCCAUAAAACACUAGACAAUGAGAGCAAGAUGGGGGACCCAAAAUGGUGCCCUGGCAUCGGCAAGUGGUGAAACCAGCCAUCUGGCCCUGUGCCCUGUCCUCAGAAGUGCCCCUGCCGCCCCAGCAGGUACAUUUGCAGGGAAAAAAGAAAUGGCUUAUAUUGACUGACUACCAUCAAUGUGCCAGAGAGGUCUUCUUAUCUCAUCUUAGAGGUGAGAGAACAAGUCAACCCGCUGGUAAAUGGGCCAAUCAGAAAUGAAAUCAGCUCAUCACCAGUUCCAGUCACUUUUCCAUUUUGAAAAGCCUCCUGCAUCAUUCUCUGCACAUAUGCAGCAGAUAUAGACACCCAAGCACACCCCUAAGGAGACAGCCCACUUGGACUCAAGGACAUUCCCUGUGGCAGCUCUCUGAAGACAGAAUUAUUUCUUUGGCAGAGAAAAGCAUGCUGUUCCUUAAGAGGACAUUAGAGGAGAACAACUUUUCUCCCUACUGAACCCUUUGCACAAAUAUCUUCUAGAAGGACUUGUUCCUCACCCACUGGCCCUUGAUUCUGUCUCACUAUUGAAUGAGGCUUUUCCACCAAACAGCUUUAAGGAUGGAUGUGUGCUCUGGAGAGAGCAAGAAACAUGUGAGAGCCGGUUUGCUUUCUGUGGGUCAGCCAACGUCUCCGCCAGUCCUAUGACUGUCAUUUCACUGAGGAUUGAUAUGCCUGAAGUCACUACAAAAACAAAUGAUGCUCUGAAGCUCAUUCCGCCCUUGCACAAAGAAGCCAAAAAAAUAGGGCUCUAAUUUAUUUUAGAAUUGGCAUAAUGAGACAAAAGAGUCCACUGUGGGAAAUUUUUGCUUAUGCAAUGAAAUUUUUACUCUCCAGCUCUUUAACAAUUAAUAUUUUUUUUAAUUUUGACUUUUAUGAAUGAACAACCAAUGGGAUUACGGUUGGGAGGUAGUAGAGUUUUUAAACAGCUAAUGAAGUCCACUACCAAUAAUGGCAGACUCCCCAAGCUCAGACCUCUGCUCUGCCAGUUGACUGCCUAUGUUUUCUGGGAUGAGCUGUUUAGCCUCUCUGCUACACAAAUUCUUCACCUGUAAAAUGUAGACAAUAAAAAGUCCUGCC
rnacentral:lncRNA from 1 species